CAGUAGCCACGGGAACACGUAGGGUGCAAGCGUUAAUCGGAAUUACUGGGCGUAAAGCGUGCGCAGGCGGUUUGUUAAGACAGAUGUGAAAUCCCCGGGCUCAACCUGGGAACUGCAUUUGUGACUGGCAAGCUAGAGUGUGGCAGAGGGGGGUGGAAUUCCGCGUGUAGCAGUGAAAUGCGUAGAUAUGCGGAGGAACACCGAUGGCGAAGGCAGCCCCCUGGGCCAACACUGACGCUCAUGCACGAAAGCGUGGGGAGCAAACAGGAUUAGAUACCCCCGUAGUCCCUGUCUCUUAUAC
rnacentral:rRNA from 1 species